rnacentral:rRNA from 1 species
UACGUAGGGUGCGAGCGUUGUCCGGAAUUACUGGGCGUAAAGAGCUCGUAGGUGGUUUGUCGCGUUGUUCGUGAAAACUCACAGCUUAACUGUGGGCGUGCGGGCGAUACGGGCAGACUGGAGUACUGCAGGGGAGACUGGAAUUCCUGGUGUAGCGGUGAAAUGCGCAGAUAUCAGGAAGAACACCCGUGGCGAAGGCGGUUCUCUGGGACGGUACUGACGCUGAGGAGCGAAAGCGUGGGGGAGCGAACAGG